rnacentral:misc_RNA from 1 species
GAUGAAGAACGUAGCGAAAUGCGAUAAGUAAUGUGAAUUGCAGAAUUCAGUGAAUCAUCGAAUCUUUGAACGCACCUUGCGCCCUUUGGCCAUUCCGAAGGGCAUGCCUGUUUGAGUAUCAUGAACACCUCAACUCUUUAUGGUUUUCCAUGAUGAGCUUGGACUCUGGGGGUUUUGCUGGCUCACAGUCGGCUCCUCUAAAAUGAAUCAGCUUACCAGUGUUUGGUGGGUAUCAUGGGUGUGAUAACUAUCUACGCUUGUGGUUUUUCCACCAGGUAACCUUCAGCAGUGGAGGUUCGCUGGAGCUCAUAGAUGUCUCUCCUCAGUGAGGACAGCCCUUUGAAUGUUUGAACUCAAAUCAGGUAGGACUACCCGCUGAACUUAAGCAUAUCAAUAAGCGGAGGA